UACGGAGGGUGCAAGCGUUGCUCGGAAUCACUGGGCGGAAAGCGCACGUAGGCGGUCGGCUAUGUCGGAUGUGAAAGCCUCGGGCUUAGCCCGAGAAGGGCAUCCGAAACUGGCCGGCUUGAGUACGGAAGAGGGUCUCGGAAUUCCCGGUGUAGAGGUGAAAUUCGUAGAUAUCGGGAGGAACACCAGUGGCGAAGGCGGAGACCUGGGCCGAUACUGACGCUGAGGUGCGAAAGCGUGGGGAGCAAACAGG
rnacentral:rRNA from 1 species